UAGUACGAUCCAUGCCGACUCA
rnacentral:miRNA from 1 species